rnacentral:rRNA from 1 species
GCCAGUAGCCAUAUCACCUUGCAACUCACAACUAGCAGCCCACUGAGGCUGAGCCUGGCCAGUACCUGGAUGGGAGACCUCCUGAGAAAGCUAAAGUUGCUGCUGGAA